UAGAUACCCGGGUAGUCCACGCCGUAAACGGUGGGCACUAGGUGUGGGGACCAUUCCACGGUCUCUGCGCCGCAGCUAACGCAUUAAGUGCCCCGCCUGGGGAGUACGGCCGCAAGGCUAAAACUCAAAGGAAUUGACGGGGGGCCCGCACAAGCGGCGGAGCAUGCGGCUUAAUUCGAAGCAACGCGAAGAACCUUACCUAGGCUUGACAUGCAGGGAAAUCUGGCAGAGAUGCCAGGUCCUUCGGGGCCGUUGCACAGGUGGUGGCAUGGCUGUCGUCAGCUCGUGUCGUGAGAUGUUGGGUUAAGUCCCGCAACGAGCGCAACCCUCGUUCUAUGUUGCCAGCGGUUCGGCCGGGGACGUCAUAGAAGACUGCCGGGGUCAACUCGGAGGAAGGUGGGGAGUGACGUCAAGUCAUCAUGCCCCUUAUGUCUAGGGCUGCACGCAUGCUACAAUGGUCGGUACAAAGGGCGUGCAAUACCGCAAGGUGGAGCGAAUCCCGAAAAACGCCGGCCUCAGUUCGGAUUGGGGU
rnacentral:rRNA from 1 species